rnacentral:rRNA from 1 species
GACGAACGCUGGCGGCGUGCCUAACACAUGCAAGUCGAACGGUAAGGCCCUUCGGGGUACACGAGUGGCGAACGGGUGAGUAACACGUGGGUGAUCUGCCCUGCACUUCGGGAUCAGCCUGGGAAACUGGGGCUAAUACCGGAUAGGACCACUUCCUGCCUGGGUGGUGGUGGAAAGCUUUUGCGGUGUGGGAUGGGCCCGCGGCCUAUCAGCUUGUUGGUGGGGUGAUGGCCAACCAAGGCGACGACGGGUGGCCGGCCUGGGAGGGUGACCGGCCACACUGGGACUGAGAUACGGCCCAGACUCCUACGGGAGGCAGCAGUGGGGAAUAUUGCACAAUGGGCGCAAGCCUGAUGCAGCGACGCCGCGUGAGGGAUGACGGCCUUCGGGUUGUAAACCUCUUUCAGCACCGACGAAGCGCAAGUGACGGUAGGUGCAGAAGAAGGACCGGCCAACUACGUGCCAGCAGCCGCGGUAACAC